GUGUGCUUUCCCGGUCCGAGAGGACUGGGUAACCCGUUGAACCUCCUUCGUGAUAGGGAUAGGGGCUUGUAAUUCUUGCCCUUGAACGAGGAAUUCCUAGUAAGCACGAGUCAUUACCUCGUGUUGAUUACGUCCCUGCCCUUUGUACUCACCGCCCGUCGCUACUACCGAUUGAAUGAUUUGGUGAGGUCUUCGGACUGGCGCUCGGAGCGGUCCUUGGGCUGAGCCGACGUGCCGGAAAGACGACCGAACUUCAUCAUUUAGAGGAAGUAAAAGUCGUAACAAGGUUUCC
rnacentral:rRNA from 1 species